UACGAAGGGGGCGAGCGUUGUUCGGAAUUACUGGGCGUAAAGGGCGCGCAGGCGGCCUUAGAAGUCAGAUGUGAAAGCCCCGGGCUCAACCUGGGAAUGGCAUUUGAUACUCUGAGGCUGGAGUACGGGAGAGGAGAGUGGAAAUUCCCCAGUGUAGAGGUGAAAAUUCGUAGAUAUUUGGGGAAGAACACCGGUGGCGAAGGCGGCUCUCUGGACCGUAACUGACGCUGAGGCGCGAAAGCGUGGGGGAGCAAACAGG
rnacentral:rRNA from 1 species